rnacentral:tRNA from 1 species
GUCAGUAGCUCAGUCGGUAGAGCAGCAGCCUUUUAAGCUGAUGGUCCCGGGUUCAAAUCCCGGCUGAC